GUUGGGGUGAAGUUUGUCAAAGCAGCAGAACAUUCUCAUUCUUGUGGGUUUGUGGAGUCCGUGUUGGUGCCCAGGAGAACUGGGUCAGACUGGGUUUUGUGGUCCGAGAGCUGCAGCCCUAAAUUUGGCAGGCUGUGUGUGAUGGAGGUGAAGUGGUAUCCCCAGAGGCUGAUGGUUUCUGUCUCCAGGUAUGCCCAGGACACUGCUAAUCCUGAGGGAUCUGCUCUGGGUCCAGGCUGUCCGUGCUGGAGUGCCCUGGUGGCUGCAGUCCCUGAGCCCGCAGAGACAGAGAGAGCCCCGGCCCGAGUGGCCUUUGGCACCUUGUCCUGAAUUUGGGGUGAGCCUGGGAGCGUGUGGAAGAUGCUGGAAUUGCCUCUCUGGGUGUAUGCUGAGCUCUGGCUGCAGGGGACUGUCAGGCCUUGGUGGCUCUGUUCCCUGAUGUCCAUUCACUGGCCUGAAUUCCUUGCAGCUCCCAGCUGGGGAAACCUGGGAUAACAUGGCAGGGACAGAGGUAACAUUUGUAGCUGCAAACUUGGGGUAAUUUCGAGGGGACACAGCAACUGUUUCUGUAGGAAAAG